CAGCAGCCGCGGGAAUACGUAGGCCCCGAGCGUUGUCCGGAUUUAUUGGGCGUAAAGCGAGCGCAGGCGGUUAGAUAAGUCUGAAGUUAAAGGCUGUGGCUUAACCAUAGUACGCUUUGGAAACUGUUUAACUUGAGUGCAAGAGGGGAGAGUGGAAUUCCAUGUGUAGCGGUGAAAUGCGUAGAUAUAUGGAGGAACACCGGUGGCGAAAGCGGCUCUCUGGCUUGUAACUGACGCUGAGGCUCGAAAGCGUGGGGAGCAAACAGGAUUAGAUACCCCUGUAGUCCCUGUCUCUUAUACA
rnacentral:rRNA from 1 species